AGUGAACGCUGGCGGUAGGCCUAACACAUGCAAGUCGAACGGCAGCACAGUAAGAGCUUGCUCUUACGGUUGGCGAGUGGCGGACGGGUGAGGAAUACAUCGGAAUCUACUUUUUCGUGGGGGAUAACGUAGGGAAACUUACGCUAAUACCGCAUACGACCUACGGGUGAAAGCAGGGGAUCUUCGGAUCUUGCGCGAUUGAAUGAGCCGAUGUCGGAUUAGCUAGUUGGCGGGGUAAAGGCCCACCAAGGCGACGAUCCGUAGCUGGUCUGAGAGGAUGAUCAGCGACACUGGAACUGAGACACGGUCCAGACUCCUACGGGAGGCAGCAGUGGGGAAUAUUGGACAAUGGGCGGAAGCCUGAUCCAGCAAUACCGCGUGGGUGAAGAAGGCCUUCGGGUUGUAAAGCCCUUUUGUUGGGAAAGAAAAGCAGCAGGUUAAUACCCCGCUGUUCUGACGGUAACCAAAGAAUAAGCACCGGCUAACUUCGUG
rnacentral:rRNA from 1 species